GGGCUGGACCCAAAGGGCGGAGCUACUGGGAGGAGCAAGGAACGUUGCGGUCCAGGCUGCUGGACCCUGCAGUCCUUACAACAACCUGAAGAGGUAGAUGCUUCUACUGUCCCCGUGUUACAGUGCCAUGAGUGUCCUUUCAGCACCUGCUACUACCAGAGUCUGACACCUUCCACUGGCAAAGGAAAAUGAUUUAAAGGACCUAGAUCCAUUUUUGUGGAGCAGGCAAUGAAGGAUGAAUUGGCAGAUGUGAGAUAAUAAAUCAAUAACUAGCAUAC